UAUAAAUCUAUGUAGAAAGGUUUUUGAAGAUUGUAUUUUUCUCUUUUCUAUUUUUGUUGCUAUUGGUUUUGACAGCAUUGUAACUCCUACUCUAUCUUUUCAUUUAUUGGUUGUCUAAUGUAGGAUGUCGGAACAUCCCAGUGAAACAACGGGUGAGGAGGACGCCGAGGAGGAUAUUUUUGAAUUGGGAGAAGAUGUUAGUCAACUGUUAAAGAAGCAAAGAACACUUAGAUCAAAGGAGUGGUAUGAAAAGGCACAUUGUUCUAGCAUCCAUGCAUUCCAAAAAUCGGAGAUGGACCAGUACUUGGAGGAGAUUGUGUUUCUAAAUAUCAAGGACUUUAAUAUUUUUACAUUGGUGGAAGGAUGGCACGUGAUAUUUUGGCUGUUCCGGCUACUACAGUUGCUUCAGAGGUGGCGUUUAGUGUGGGAGGUAGGGUAACUGAUGAAAGUCGUGCUUCUUUACUUCCAGAUAUCGUAGAGGCUUUGAUGACUGCCAAUGAUUGGAUUGAACCCCCUAAGAAAAUAAUUGAUGAAGCAAGUGUUACCGAACAACAAUGUUAAUAGAGGUAAAGGCAAUCCAUUGUUUCUUGGCUCCAAUUAACUACUUUCAGUAGAUACGCAAUGCACAAAUUUCUGUGUCACUUUAUGUAUGAUAUGAGCGUGAACUUAUUGCCAUUUUAUAAGUUCAAGUCUGCUGAAAUGCAAGUGUUAGGACAAUUCGCCUGCCCAAACUUCCAGGUCCUGGAAAUCUAGCUACAUCUGUUCUUAGUCCUCAGUUCUUAAUCAUAUAUGUGUAUCUUGCGUGUGAGGAUAUGUUAAAAGUUAAAGGCAUCCACACACCCACUUGAGGCACAUAGAGAGGCAAGGUGAAGCAAAUGCUGCUCAAGAGAAAAGAUUCACUUGCACCCUUUCUACUUUCGAAGUUUCGUUAAAUGCCUUGUGAAUCUUCAUUCUGUUUCUCUUGUGCAGUCUAAGGAUGAAUGUGAAUACCUAAACAUGGUGGAGGAGGGGUCUCCUUUUGUUUUGGUGUUUCUCUUGGUAGAAACAAGGAAUUGCGAAUGCUACCAUCCUCAUGGACAGUUUGCUUCUGAUUAAGUUUUUGCGAAAAGAUAUUAAACCGGAUGAGUGGUUAUUUAAUAGGUUGAACUCUAUAUCGAUUGUAAAUUUCAGUAAAGUCUCAGUGCAAGGGAGGGCCACUUAUUGUAUAUUUGUAUGACUGUUGUAUUUUGGUAAUGGUAUAGUCUGGAUCUCUCCCUCUCUCUUCA